UACGUAGGGUGCAAGCGUUGUCCGGAAUUAUUGGGCGUAAAGGGCUCGUAGGCGGUCCAUCGCGUCGGGAGUGAAAAGCUGGGGCUUAACCCCAGUCCUGCUUCCGAUACGGGUGGACUAGAGGUAGGUAGGGGAGAACGGAAUUCCUGGUGUAGCGGUGAAAUGCGCAGAUAUCAGGAGGAACACCGGUGGCGAAGGCGGCUCACUGGCUCAUUUCUGACGCUCAGGCGCGACAGCGUGGGGAUCAAACAGG
rnacentral:rRNA from 1 species